UACGUAGGGUGCAAGCGUUGUCCGGAAUUAUUGGGCGUAAAGAGCUCGUAGGCGGUUCGUCGCGUCGGCUGUGAAAUCCCGAGGCUCAACCUCGGGUCUGCAGUCGAUACGGGCGGACUGGAGUUCGGCAGGGGAGACUGGAAUUCCUGGUGUAGCGGUGAAAUGCGCAGAUAUCAGGAAGAACACCAAUGGCGAAGGCAGCUCUCUGGGACGGUACUGACGCUGAGACGCGAAAGCGUGGGGAGCGAACAGG
rnacentral:rRNA from 1 species